rnacentral:rRNA from 1 species
GACGAACGCUGGCGGCGUGCUUAACACAUGCAAGUCGAGCGGAGCGGCGCACGGGUGAGUAACGCGUUAGUAACUGCCCCCCUCUCUGGGAUAACAGUUGGAAACGGCUGCUAAUACCUGAUAGUGGGGGAUGACUCGCGUCCUAUCAGCUUGUUGGUGGGGUAGUGGCCUACCAAGGCGACGACGGGUAGCCGGCCUGAGAGGGCGAACGGCCACAUUGGGCUGAGAGACGGCCCAAACGGCUACGGGAGGCAGCAGGGGGGAAUAUUGCACAAUGGGGGAAACCCUGAGGCAGCAACGCGCGGGCGGGAUGACGGCCUUAGGGUGGGAAACCGCUUUCAGCCAGGACGCGGUAGUGGCAGAAGAAGCAACGGCUAACUACGUGCCAGCAGCCGCGGUAAUUC